CCGGCCCCUUAUCUACCUGGUAAUACCUUAGUUCCCUGCCUGAUCCAUAUUGGACAUGUGAAUUACCUGUCUUGUCUAUAUAACCUACAGGGUCUGAUACAUGGAAUUAUAGAGGCUCAUCCUAUGUGCCAGUUCUCCUAACAAAAAGUGCAAUGUGUGGGUCUACACAGAGGCCUUUAUCAAGCUUGUUACAAUAAACCUGCCUUCCUGCAACAAUCCAAUCAUGGAGAGGGGGAAAUCAUAUUAUUGACAUAGGCAAAAAAGAAAUGCAAUGGGUCCAUAGGUUAAAAACAUUAGAACCUAGGGGGCUCAAU